rnacentral:lncRNA from 1 species
UGUGUAUAUUCUAGGGUAUUCUUCAUCUUCUCUCUGUGUGUUCUAAACUCUUCAUCUUUUUCGUGUUUUCUGGUUCAAUCUCUGUAAAAUCUAAUUGAUGUUUUUGGGUUGUAUUUUGUGUACAAUCUUAGAGGUUGUAAGGAGAGUGUCUUUGUGUAAGAGAUGUGAAAGAAAUUAGAUGUCUGCGAUUUCUUCAUGCAUUUUUAUUUUUUUAAAACCUAGUUUGUAAAUCUAAAUGUUUUUAACUUUUUUGGGAGUUUUUGGAAAAUAAAUCGUGUUUUCUAAAGGUUUUGGGUAAUCUACAUUCGAUCCAAUUUUUGAUUGGAUCUCUUUAAAGAUUGUGGGUAUUCUUAGUGUUUGAUCUUUAAAGUUUAUGGUUAAUUGAUCAUUAUGGUGAAAAACUCAUCGACCGGUUCUUGAUCUUAAAAACUUUGUGUUUCUACUGAGUUUUCUGCCAGUUUGUUCUUAACUCACUACUGAGUGGUCCUUGGAAACUCAUUCCGAAGGUCAGCGAGUUGACUUGACUUACUCUAAUUUCUACUGCUUUACUUGAAUCAUUGUUGAAUCAUACUGAGUUUAUGUGACUCGUUGGGCUCUUUUCCAUUGCUUUGGAUUUUUGAAUUGGUAGCAAUAUUCUUUUGCUACUCUUUUCACACCGAAACAUUGAGGUUUCAACUCUGGUAUAAUCCUUUAUUCUCUUAAAUUUUCAGUUAAUUAUUGAACUGCCUGUGUAUUUUUGAUCUAGUUAUUAAGGUAAGAGUAUCUAACAUUACUUUCCUUUAUUCAAGAUCUUCCACGAGGAUUUGAGAAUCUGAGGGAGUAGCAUAUUAAUAGAUUCUCCACUCCUUAAACCUUUCAAAUUGACAAUCCAAUUUGAUAAUUAACUACUUGUUCUUGACCAUACUUGCUAAUUUCUGCAUAAUUCUGCGCUAUGCAUUGUAUAUAUCUAAAUACCGUUUGAAGAUUGCAUGCUAAGAAAUUUCUUUACUCUGUCUUGCACUGAAAUUAGCAUAUUCUAUAGAUUUCUCACAUUGCUUGAAUUGAUAAAACUUGGUGUAUGUACAAUCUAAUUUUGUGAUCUUAUCUGUAAAUAUGACAAUUGCACACAAAUUUGAAGUUGAAAUUUGGAAAUGCAAUCAAAAGAUGAGUGCUCUAUUGAUACAAUAGAUAUGUGUUGGUGCCUUUAAUGGGACAUGGGACACAAAAAUUAGUGCCUAUAGGAGACAUGAAUUAGAUGAGAUUGCCUAGAGUUCUGUCUUUCUUCACCUGUCUAACAAGGUGAUGAGGAAAAUUGGAGACACAACUACAACCAAGCUUUAUGGACAAAGUUAGAAUCCUCGCACCUAACUAAGACAAUGCCAAAUAAAUGUUUUUUCCUCAGACAAUUUUACAACUUUAGAUUUGAUAUCUCCUCUAUCUGAGAAGAAAACAUUAAUAAGUUCACUAAACUAACUUUGAUGAGAAAAUUUCUGAUGAUUAACAAGUUGUUGCUUUACUGAAUUCCCUAAGUGAAAAGUAUAAGGAUUUCAUAACUGCACUAGAAUAUGGGAGAGAAGAUCUUACCAUUGAUAUAAUCAUUUUAGUUGUAAGAAAUUGGGAAUUUGAAUUGAAAACUGAAUCUAAAGACUAAAUAUAGUGAAGGAUUAUAUGUGAGAGAAAAGUUGAACCAAAGCAAAAGAAACAAUUAAUGCAACUUCAAAACACUCAAGAAAGGAAGAUUUCAUAAUCCUAGACCCAAAGAUAAGAACAAGAAUAAACUGGAACCUAAGGAUCAAGUCAAGAAAUAUUAUUAUUGUAGGAAGACUGGAAACUUCAUAAAAGAUUGUCUUAAGGAGAUAUUUGAUAUGAAGGAUAAAUACAACUUUGAUGGAUUUGCAGCUAUUGCCCGCAACAAUGAAUUAGAUAUCCAAGGAGUUGUCCUUGUUGCUUCAACCAAAAGAAACCCAAAUGAGUGGGUUAUUGAUUCUCAUUUUUCUUCCACAUUUGUCCCAUUAGAGAAUGGUUCACUAAUUUUAUUGAUUUGAAUGGUGGUCAAGUUCAGAUCGAAAAUGAUAUGACCUGUCAAAUAAAAGGUAUUGGAAAACUUAUUUUGUUCCUAGAGAAUAAUCACACUCUUCAAUUGUCUCAAAAGAGGUAUGUGCCUGAUCUCCAAAGAAAUUUGAUUUCUUUGGGACAAUUGGAUGAUGAAUAUGAAAUUAAAAUUUAGAGGUUUUACCAAAAUAAGUCUCAACUCUAGAGAAAUAAUUUCUUCUCCAAAAAUCAAUGGAAUUUACACGUUGCAAGCUGAACCAUUAGUUGGAAACAGCUCUACAGUUGUGAAAUCUCAUGAUGACAAAGCCUUAGUUUGGCACAAGAGACUUGGCCAUAUCGGUGAAAAAGUGUUGAUGAAUUUAAACAAACUAAGUUGUUUUGGAAAAGAUGACAUUGAAAAAUUAAAAUUUUGUGGAGAUUGUAUCAUUAGAAAACAAAAUAAGUUGCCCUUUAAAGAUGGAAUUCAUAGAUCCACCUCAAUACUAGAGUAUUUGCAUGCUGACCUGUGGGGUCUAGCAUCAACUAAUACAUUAAGUGAAUUUAGAUUCUACCUACUCAUAGUAGAUGAUUUCUCAAGAAAAGUUUGGUCCUUUCUUCUAAAAUAUAAAUUUGAUACUUUCAGUGACUUCAAACAAUGGAAACUGAUGAACAAAAAUCAAACAAAUAAAAGGGUCAAAGCACUUUGGAUUAAUAAUGGUCUAGAAUUUUGUAAUCUUAAAUUUGAUUCCCUUUGUAAAGAGUCUAGAAUUCUAAGCGGUACACAGUUACAUACACUCCUCAGUAAAAUGGAAUUACUAAGAGAAUGAAUAGAACUUAUUGGAAAAGUUGAGAUACAUGUUACUGAGUUAUGGCCUUCCAAAACUCUUUUGGGUGGAAGCCUUCAAAACUGCCAUUUAUUUGAUUAAUAGAAUUCUUUCAAGUGCUAUUGAUUUUUAAAUCCCUGAAUACUUAUGGUUUGUUAAGUCUUCAGAUUACCUUAAACUUAAGGUAUUUGGCUAUACUACAUAUUCUCAUCAAGAUGUGGGCAAACUUGAACCUAGAUCGCAAAAAUGUGUGUUUCUGGGUUAUGGAGAAAAAAUUAAGGGUUACAGACUUUGGGUAAAAGGUAAGGAAGGUUUUAGAGUCAUCAUCAGUAGAAAUGUCAUUUUUAAUGAUAGCCAGUUUCAUUGUAUAAAUCCCCAAAAACAAAAUAUUGAUGAAACUGCCCCUGUUAAAGAAACUGUCCUAGAAAAACAAGAAAAUGACUUUAUAGAAUCUAAUGAUUUGAUUGAGGUGGAGACUACUCAAUCUGAAAUAGAUCAUCCUCAAGUUGAAUCUAAUACUGAAAUUGGAUCUCAGAAUAAUGGUCUUAAUGAUUUUCAAUUAACCAGAGAUAGAGUUAGAAGAAAUAGGCUUCCUUCCAUUAGAAUUAAUAUUGAUGAAUUUGUGACCUUCUAUAGUGAACUUGAAUUUGAUAACUCUGAACCUGCAACCUUUGAAGAGGCUACAGCUGUAAAUAUUCCAAAUUGUGGAUAGAAACCAUGAAAGAAGAAAUUGAUUCUUUGAUUAGAAAUAAAACAUGGAUCCUAAUUAAUAAGCGUAAGCAUAAAAAAAUUGUUAAUUGUAAAUGCGUCUACUAAAUUAAAGAGGGUGAACCAAAUUGUGGGGAUAAAAGGUAUAAGGCCAGACUUAUAGCAAAAUGCUUUAAACAAAGAGAGGAUAUUAAUUAUAAUGAAAUCUUCUCACAUGUUGCUAAGUAUACUUCAAUCAGAAUCCUACUUGCUCUAACAGCUCAUUUCAACUGAGAAUUAGACCAACUUGAUGAUAAAACUGCCAUUCUAAAUGGAGUUAUUGAAGAAACCAUUUAUAUGAAUCAAUCAAAAAGAUAUGAACUUAACUUAAAUUUUAUGGCUUGAAACAGGCACCAAGGCAAUGGUAUAAUAAAUUUUACUCUUAUGUUCAAAAUUUUGUGUUUUCAAAGAAUAAUUUUGAUUCUUGCUUCUGUUUCCAAGGGUCAGGUGAACCUUAUUCUAUCUAUCUAUUAUUGUAUGUUGAUGAUAUGCUUCUUGCUUACCAUGAUAGAUCUAAAACCGAUUCGGUAAAAAAAAAAAGCCUAAAAUUAAAUUUGAAAUGAAAGACCUAGGUCAAUCUAAGAAGAUAUUAGGCAUGGAAAUAAAAAAAAGAUAGAAAUAAUUGUGUUCUGUAUGUAAAUCAAAGCUCUUAUACACAUAAAGUACUUGAAAAUUUUGGUAUGCCUGAGUCCAAACUUGUAACUUUACCUAUUUCUAAUCAUUUUAAACUGUCUAGUUAACAAUCUCCAAAAAUUGAUGAAGAGUUUAGUAGGAUGAGUAAGAUACCUUAUGCUAAUACUGUUGGGAGUUAAUUGUUCCAAUGGUCACUAAAAUUAGGUCCAUGUCUUUGAUUGACAGUAAACUUUAAAAUGUUGAGUUUUCUCCACUGAACUUUAAAAAAUGUCGAGUUUUGGUUAUUGAACUUAGAUUUAUGUCUUUGAUUGAUUACUGAAAUUUAAAAUGUCGAGUUUUGGUAAUGGAACUUAAGUCAAUGUCUUCGAUUGCUCACUGAACUAGGUCCAUAUCUUAGAUUGCUCACUAAAGUUUAAAAUGGCGAGUUUUGGCCACUAAAUUUUGAAAUAUGCCAUACAUUACUUACUAGCAUAACUGUUGAAUUUUGAAAAAUAUUAAGUUUACAGUGAGUAAUGUAUAAUAUUUUUCAAAUUUCAGUGAGUAAUGUACAACAUUUUUUAAAAUUCAAUGACCAAAACUCAAUAUUUUCAACUUCAGUGAGCAAUCAAAGAUAUGGACCUAAGUUAAGUAACCAAAACUGGACAUCUUUCAAAGUUUAGUGAUCAAAACUCGACAUUUUAAAGUUUGGCGACCAAUCAAAGAUAUGGACUUUAGGUCAAUGACCAAAACUCGAUAUUUUAUAGUUCAAGUGACCAAUCAAAGAUAUGGACCUAAGUUCAGUGAUUAUUGGAAUAAUUAACACUACUGUUGGCUCUAUUAUGUAUGAUACCUAAUUUAGCCCAUGAUAUAAGUAUUCAUAAUGGUUUAUGGUGAAUCCAAGUAAAACACAUUGGUUAGCAAUUAAGUCAUAAGUGGAUGUUAAGGUACUUAAAGGGUUCAACGGAAUUAAGUUUAAAGUUUCAAAGGUGUAAGGAAGGUUGUAUCUUGAAGGAAUACACUGACUCUGGUUUUGCAGGUGAUCUAGAUAAAAGAAGAUCAACUUAUUCUUAUAUUUUUUACUCUUUGUGAUGGUUGUAUUAGUUGGAAGUUCCAAUCGCAAAAGCUUGAAGCUUUUUAGGUUGUAUUUUGUGUACAAUCUUAGAGGUUAUAAGGAGAAUGUCUUUGUGUAAGAGAAGCAAAUGAAAUUAGAUUGAAGAAAUUUGUGAUUUCUUCAUACAUUUUCAUGUACUAUUCUUCGCGAUUCUUAGUGGAUUCGAGCAUAAUCUACUUUAUAGAUGCUCAAAGAGUGACAGGCCUUUGGCUGAACAUCCGGGCCCUAAGGGGUGAAAAUCUGAUUUCUUUUGAUUUUUGCAAUUUCUCCAUUUUUAACAAACGUUUUAUUGUGCAAACUAUGAUCCUGAAACCAACAUAAUUUUUUUUAGUUUCUAGCUAUGCACAACAGAUUAUUUUCAUUAAUUUUCCUGCAGUGUAUUAUUCUUACAUUUAUAAUUUAUACGCAUUCGCACCUUUCAAUAUAGUCAGGAUUGUGGUGUACAUCUGAUGAAUUAUGGGGAGUCUAUCAUCAACGGUAAGUUGCAGAAAAUGAUGGAAAAAUUUUGUUCCAAAGAGGGCUAGUGUUGAGUUGGGAUGCUCACUAUUCUAAUUGGACUGGUGGUUUGACAUCCAAACCGUGUUCUUUGUUGAGGCCCAAAACACUUGAUGAAAUCAUGUUUCUAAAAUGCGUGUAUGCCUUUUUAAGUGGUGAUUUUACCCGGGCCUUACACUUGGCAUGUACCUCGCCGUUCAAUUGAGACUUUUUGUUAGACAUAUAUAUUGAUCCUCUCAUUUCUCAUUAUACUAGAUUUUGAAUGGGAAUUCUGUUAGGGUUUCUGGAUUGUUCUCUAAGUGUUCUGUACUCUUUUUCUUCAUGUUUAAUCUGGGUAAUCUUUUAGUAAGAUGUUUUAGGUUGUGUUUAGUAUGCAAUCUGAGAGAUUGAGUGGAGUAUAUUCUAUGUAAUUCUUAGAGAGGCAAGAAGAAACGUUAGUGAAGUACAUUUGUAACUGCUUUUGGUGAUUUUUAGUGGAUUCGAGUAAUAUCUACUUAAUAAAUGCUCAAUGUGGUUAGUAGGCCUUUAAUUGAACAUUUUGGACCUUAGUGGCAAAAAAUCCUUUGUAUUCUUCUAUUUUCUGCAAUUUUAUGUGUUCUGCAACUUUCAGUUUCAUAAAUUGUUCUUAUUUUUGUGAUUCUGAGACCAACAAGGGAUAUCAGAGUCUGUUAUUUUAUUUUAGGUGUUAUGGUUUUUUGUAUUCUUGAAGCCCUAGUUCUUUAAAUUUUGGAAAAUUUUUGGAGAGUUAAAGAAAUAAAUUACGUUUUCUAAAAAAUACUAUUACGAUCUACAUUGGAUUCAAUUUUUGAUUGGAUCCUUAAAGAUUUUGUGUCUUUUGGGUUUGAUAUGUUCUAUUCUUC